rnacentral:rRNA from 1 species
UACGUAGGGGGCAAGCGUUGUCCGGAAUCAUUGGGCGUAAAGCGCGUGUAGGCGGCUCGUUAAGUCUGCUGUGAAAGCCCUGGGCUCAACCUGGGAACUGCAGUGGAUACUGGCGGACUAGAGUGUGAUAGAGGAUGGUGGAAUUCCCGGUGUAGCGGUGAAAUGCGUAGAGAUCGGGAGGAACACCAGUGGCGAAGGCGGCCAUCUGGAUCAACACUGACGCUGAGGCACGAAAGCGUGGGGAGCAAACAGG